rnacentral:snoRNA from 1 species
GCUCCCCCUAGAGGCACUACAGGUGGCUGCUCAGUCCCAUGUGCUACAGUCAGUGGCACAGAGGAGAGAAGCUAUGUCUACUCUCAGUGUUCUGACCUACGAACAUCUGAAUGAUUCGUAGCCUCACGUU